AGCGAACGUUUGCGGCGGGCCUAACACAUGCAAGUCGAACGGGCUAGCAAUAGUCAGUGGCGCACGGGUGCGUAACACGUGGGUAAUCAACCCUUCAGCCUGGGAUAACGAUCUGAAAGGAUCGCUAAUACCGGAUGCGAUGCGAGGAACCUCGGUUUUUCGCAGGAAAGCUUCGCAAGGAGCACUGAAGGACGAGCCUGCGGCCCAUCAGCUAGUUGGUGAGGUAAAAGCUCACCAAGGCGAAGACGGGUAGCUGGUCUGAGAGGAUGAUCAGCCACACUGGAACUGAGACACGGUCCAGACUCCUACGGGAGGCAGCAGUGGGGAAUAUUGCGCAAUGGGCGAAAGCCUGACGCAGCCACGCCGCGUGAGCGAUGAAGGCCUCGGUCGUAAGACUACUGUGGGAGGAGAAGAAGAAAGACGGGUGAA
rnacentral:rRNA from 1 species